GGCUCAGAACGAACGCUGGCGGCGCGCCUAAUACAUGCAAGUCGAGCGAGAAGGUGUAGCAAUACACUUGUAAAGCGGCGAACGGGUGAGGAAUACAUGGGUAAUCUACCAUCGAGUGGGGAAUAACCAGCCGAAAGGUUGGCUAUUACCGCGUACGCCUCCGGAUCUUCGGGUUCGGAGGGAAAGCCACACUGUGAGUGCGGCGCUCUUUGAUGAGCUCAUGUCCUAUCAGCUUGUUGGUAGGGUAACGGCCUACCAAGGCUUUGACGGGUAGCUGGUCUGAGAGGACGAUCAGCCACACUGGCGCUGCGACACGGGCCAGACUCCUACGGGAGGCAGCAGUAAGGAAUAUUGCGCAAUGGGCGAAAGCCUGACGCAGCGACGCCGCGUGGGGGAUGAAGGUCUUCGGAUUGUAAACCCCUUUCGGGAGGGAAGAUGGAGCGAGCAAUCGUUCGGACGGUACCUCCAGAAGCAGCCACGGCCAACUUCGUGCCAGCAGCCGCGGUAAUACGAAGGUGGCAAGCGUUGUUCGGAUUCACUGGGCGUACAGGGAGCGUAGGCGGUUGGGUAAGCCCUCCGUGAAAUCUCCGGGCCUAACCCGGAAAGUGCAGAGGGGACUGCUCAGCUAGAGGAUGGGAGAGGAGCGCGGAAUUCCCGGUGUAGCGGUGAAAUACGUAGAUA
rnacentral:rRNA from 1 species